GGAUUACCUCCCAUUUAAUUUGUUUAAAGGCUUGCUGUUGCUCAGGGCUCCACAAAAAAUCAUUCUUUUGUGUUACCUGAUGGAAAGGUCUUACAAUAAGACUAUAAUCUGGGAUAUGCAUUCUCCAGAAACCCAUAACACCGAGGAAACAUUGGGUUUCCCUUGUUCUCUUUGGUGAGGACACAGCAGUGGAUUUCUGACUGUGCUGCUUGCUGCAUUGCCCAGAAAUGGAAGAGAGUUCUCCUCAAACACCUGGAAUUGGAAAUCACGCGGGGAGUACUGGAGACUUCUGGGAAUUGCAGUCUGUCUCUUCUUAGCACAUUUUCUUCUCAGAGAGCCAUAACCAAUCACAAACACAGACAGGUCUGGAGCAAUGAGAAGAGUAUGCACGUAGCUAAGCUGGCAACUAGGAAGCGAUGGUGUCUUCUCACAGGGAACUGGGAUAAGCCAUGGAGAUCAGCACCCUCUGCAGCUGGAUCAACUGCAGACCGAGCCCAGCAGACAUUAUCAAAGCUAUAAACCCCUAGCAGCAGCCUGAGAGACAACUAUUGAACUAGGCCAAAAUUAACUAGUAAAAGCCUUCCAAAUAAUCUUCAGUAUAAAGUUUGGACAAGAUUUAUUUCAAGUGGUCCAUCCCUAAACUAGCUUGCUGAAGAAAGAAGAAUUCUGAAAGCUUCCUACUUUAAUUUGUUUAUUCCCUGCUGUGAAUUGAUUGAAAAACCCUCCUAUUUCAUGCUGUUCGAGGUAAAAGAAAAAAAUAAAGAUUUCAACUCUUUGUCA
rnacentral:lncRNA from 1 species